AGUAUUGAGUCUGUUGAUGGUUUU
rnacentral:siRNA from 1 species